CUACCGAUCGUUACAGAGGGAGUUUUUUUUUUCUACCGAUCUUUUCAGUGUAUUGAUUAAAGAGCUCCGAUGGGAGCGAGUGCGAGUGUGGUUAACUCGGUUUUGGAGCUUCGUUUUAGUUUAUUUUUUUUGAGCUUCGUUUUGACGUAUGCACACUUCGGUUGGCCGCCAGAGGUCUACGACCCCCUGCGGAGAGGCACCUCGUAGCGGCCACGCCACCGUCGGCACCGCGAUGACAGCAACCGGCGGACCUAAGACCUCACCCGCACCACCUGCGGCGCCGCCGACCCGUCCCGAGACGCCCGGGUCCCGGAGUCCCCGUGGGCCAUGGCGGAGAAGUCGCCGCUGCGUGGCCUCCUGCGGGCCGAGUCGUCUCUCCGGGCUAGUGUCGGGAACGGGGAGCCGAGGGUGCUGUAGUAGGGAGCGCACGUGGGGUACGAGACGUUGCGGCAAUUCCUCGUGCCCUUUUACGGGAAGUGAACCAAACCCGGCUGCGGCUCCCACAACCAAAGACUGGGCCUAGAUCACUCUCUUUAAGACAGGUUGUUCGAACCUGUGAUAGCCUUUGUUUCCUCAUCGGCAUACCCCUUCGAUGAUCGGCUGCCUCAGCGUUUAGUACUUCCGCUCUUUACCCGUUUCGUGGCUUCUUAGGAGUUAGGGCGGAAAGUGGUACUCUUCUAUUUCUCCUACGACGGUCAAAAGAGAUGGACAACGCUUCUUUACCAACGUUCCACCCUUUUAAGCUACAGGUGACUUCCUAAUAGACUCUAACUGUGUACAGGACUCAAGGUCUUAAAAUGGCCUCUACAGUAGCGCUCUUGUAGUAAACCAUCGUUAAUAGUCCUUCCCUUCUUUUAUAAGCUCGACGUUCCCCUCAAUCGAUUUGCUGAUUACGUCCGAAAAGUCUGUAAAAAAUAGGGUCCGAUAACCAAGAAUGGUUGUUUUUUAUUAUCUUCCUACUCUCGUUAACUAGUACUCUAGGCGUACUAAUACGCUCCGUAAUAACCUUUUUUUCUUUCUCGAUAAUUUUUACCACUUCGGUCGUCGUUACUGAACGAUCCUAACGACAACCUCAGUUUAUACGUUGUUAGUUUACCCUUCCGUCCGGUUCCUUACUCAUAACUACUAUAUUAACUCCUUACGUUCGACAAAAUGAAACGUCCAUACCUCUGUUGUAGCCAGAACGAGUGUACCUGUGAUUAACACGAUUCGUACGUGGGCCUCACCGUUCUCGUUCGUUCUCUCCUUCACAACGUAGUGAAGCCUGCUUGGUGUGGUCUAAUACUCGUGGACUCAGCGGACUUCUAACAUUGUUACUAAGACAUACUCCAAGAAUCCAACAUGGGCGGCCAUUGGAUAGAAUGGUCUUCUUGAAUGUUCCGUUGCCUCGAACCGCCGUAGUUUAUAGGAUGUCCUCACUGGGAAUAGAACGGGGAAGAGAAAUAGGUGGUACUAGGGCUAUAAACCCCUCUCCUACGUUCACUCAAGUUAGGUGUCUCCAAACGACUACCGUAGAGCUCGCGCCGUUUCGUAGGCAGUCGUAAGAAGGGCAAACCUCCCCCAGGAGCCUAGACGUAACCGGUCUUGAAACGUAACGACCUUCGAUUCUACCGUGACUCGUGGUAGGAGGUCGCGAAGAGAAAGCGCGAGAGCGGCAGGAUGUGGGUACGCGGCAUAUGGCACUACUGGGAGGUCGGCGUCGUGCCACGAGUUUAAUCCGACUUCUUCUAUACUAGUGGGAAGAGUAGCUGGUCAACUAAAUGAACACACAACGCAUAUCAAAUUUCAAAAUCGAAAGCCGUCUUAUUUGCAUCGUUGGUCCGAAUGUACAACACAUUAAAAAAAAUUUAUGAA
rnacentral:rRNA from 1 species